AGGUUCAUUUUUUAUGGGGGAACAAUUUUAUACUGUUCUCUUAAGGAUGUAAUUGCAUUUGUUUGAUGUUCUCCAGUUUUCAUAUCAUCUUUCUUGUCAAGGAAAAACAAAAAAAUGUUUCAUAUCAUCUUUGUCAAGCAUUGGGCUUUUACCAUCCAUUGACACAGGAGUAAAUUGAAGUUUUACGCCAUGACAUGUUAAGCUGGGUUUGAUGAAUGAAAACAAAAGGGAAUAUGGACUAUUACUCAUGUCAUAUGUAAGUGAAAUAUGGAACUAUAACUCAUAGGAUUAACGGUAGACAUUAUACCUUUUACACCAUAUCAUGCCUUUUGCUUCAUGUCAUAACUUUUACAAUAACUUUUACACCUACCAAUAAAUAACAAUGUUUCGGGCCUUUCUCUUAUUACAUGGUUGUUCAACUCUCACAUGAUAGAGCAAGUCCAGUGCAUUUCUAGUGAGAAAAAGGAAGUCAAUUACGAAUCUCCAAGACCAACACAUCAAAUGUAACUUUGGGAUUGAACUUGCUUCACUAUUUGGGAUAAUCUCAGACAUUCUUCACUUCAUCAGGUCCACUUUAUGCUCAGUAGGAUUUUAUUUUCCCAUAUUUCAGAGUUGUGAUUUUUCUUGUCCCAUGUUCUGGUUAAAUCACACAUUUGUUUAUAUGAUUCUAAUACUUGGGCUGGUCUUCUUUAAUGGUCUUAUAGUUAUCCACUGGAAAUUUCCAAUAACAAUGCACUUUUUAGUUUAUUAAUUUUUUUUUUUAUCUUUAUUCAGUUUAAAAAAAAAAA